rnacentral:rRNA from 1 species
GACGAACGCUGGCGGCGUGCCUAAUACAUGCAAGUCGAGCGGACAGAAGGGAGCUUGCUCCCGGAAGUUAGCGGCGGACGGGUGAGUAACACGUGGGCAACCUACCCUGUAGAUCGGGAUAACAUCGAGAAAUCGGUGCUAAUCCCGGAUAAUCAUUUGAAGUGCAUGCUUCGAAUGUAAAAGUUGGCUCCGGCUAUCACUACGGGAUGGGCCCGCGGCGCAUUAGCUGGUUGGUAAGGUAAUGGCUUACCAAGGCAACGAUGCGUAGCCGACCUGAGAGGGUGAUCGGCCACACUGGGACUGAGACACGGCCCAGACUCCUACGGGAGGCAGCAGUAGGGAAUCUUCCGCAAUGGACGAAAGUCUGACGGAGCAACGCCGCGUGAGUGAUGAAGGUUUUCGGAUCGUAAAGCUCUGUUGUUAGGGAAGAACAAGUGCCGUUUGAAUAAGGCGGCACCUUGACGGUACCUAACCAGAAAGCCACGGCUAACUACGUGCCAGCCGCCGCCGUAAGAC